ACCUCAUCCCUAGAGCCCGAGCGGGAUGCGGUCGCAGCUGCGGCUCUCGGCACCUGUUACGCCCUGUGAUUCACCCUGCUGGGUCCUGCUCUCCACCCCCUCCUCACUCCCGCGGAGCUCGGGGCCCCGGGCUUCAUCGGGCUAGGGGCGGGUGGCGGGGUCGUGGCUGCUUCAAAGCACACGUCCCGAGCCCCUGUGAACCCCAGCACCCACCCGAGCAAAAGUGAAGCGCCCAGUAAAGCUCUGUGGGGUUGAAAAAGUGGGGAAAUAAACCAAACAACAGCCGGCACCCAGAAUUAGGUCAGGCCCAGGGGAAGGGAGGUUCAAGCGCUGGGAGUCGAGGAUGCCAAGGAGAAAAGUUCAUGUAAAUUUAGGGCAAGAAUUGGACCUAGGCGAAAGACAGCGGGAAGUCUAAGAAAAGGCACUCGUGAAUUAGAAGUCUAUGCAAAACUGCUCCACACCCACUGAUCAAAAUAUGUGCAAAAAAAUGUAUGCCCGCUACUCCUUUAGCCAGGGUCAUGGCGGCUCCUCUCGUGUUCCAUGGCCUCCUAAAAUUCUCCAGCGAAGAUGAGAGGCCAGAAAAAGGAAGGAGAUCAGAUGGAGAAAUCGCAGGCAUAUGAGUUGAGUUAUAAAACAAAGACGUACUUGGAUAGAUUUUUUUUAAGUGAAGCCAAGAAAUUUACUCAGUAAAAACAGGUUUGGUAUUUUAAGGAGGAUCCUGAGAGCACUUUGAAACCAAAAUACUAUGAGAGAAGGACAAGAAUUGUUAAAACUGAAGAACAAGGGAGAAAGGAGUGCCUUCCUUCUUCCAGUUCACACACGUAUAUCCAGCCCCAAUCCUGGAUGAAAGAUCAAGACGAGAACAUGAACAUGCCAUGGCGACAACUUCAGAAUCCAAGAGCGGCUCAGGGAAAGAGCACCGACGGGCUUGCAAAGGGAGGACGUCUUCCACCAGAGGGAAAAGCCACUGCAGAACACAGCAGUGGAGCAACAGCGCCACCAAGCGAACAGCCACCAUUUCUCAAGGCAUCUGCUUUUCAGAAAUCUUCGCGUUACGGGGCUAUUUCUGGAAUUUAAAGGUGAAUCACAAUCCAUAAGGCUUCUUUCUUCCUUCCUUUUUUUUUCUUUCCCCUUUUAAAAAAAGUCCAAAAACUACCCUCAAAUUCCCUCCACCUCUGCUCCUCCGCAGAGCGGGACAACUGAAGACAUGUGGAGGCCAGAGAGCUAGGGCGGCUUUGGGUGUUGCUAUGGUAACUUUCCCCUUUAUUGAUAAUCUUGUGGAAGCUUUGAAAAUGUCUGCUUGCUGUUACUUUGUUUUUCAAGCUUUGCUUUACCGUAUUUAAUUUGUUUCACCUUCUGAUUUGUUUAAUGACAUGUUAUUAAAAUUCCCGAGGAGUCCGCAGGAAUCUUCGCUGCUGAGAGGCAGAACUGCAUUCUGGAAGCUUCGGUGAUUCCUAUCCGAGCACCCCUUGCUGCUGCUGCUGCUGCUGCUGCUGCUGCUGCUGCUAACUCGCUUCAGUCGUGUCCGACUCUGUGAGACCCCACAGACGGCAGCCCACCAGGCUCCCCCGUCCCUGGGAUUCUCCAGGCAAGAACACUGGAGUGGGUUGCCAUUUCCUUCUCCAAUGCGUGAAAACAAGGUUUUAAAACCCAUUAGGGUAUCACUGCUGAGCCGCUGAGGACAGACCUGUGUUGGCCUGGAAGCUGCAGCAGGCAGCUCAACGUCUUAAGGCGAUGCUGGAAAAGCCGGCUUUGUCUUUUCAUCCCUGCCCCUGGUCUCCGUUGCUGCAGGCCCUGGGUGUGAGAAAAGUGACCCUGAUUGCCCAUAGCGCUUGCUUGUUUUCUCUCAUUAACCACUCCUACCAGACAGGAGAACAAUGUUCUGUGCUCAAUUAGAAUGACGCUAACAUGCCUCCGGGAGGUCUGUCUAGCGCGGAGAGGAGAGGCAACUGUGGAACAGGCCACUAGGCGGUAAAGGCAAGGCCCCGCCUCCUUCUCUGGCCCUGGAA
ensembl:lncRNA